GCCGAAGUGGCGGAAUUGGUAGACGCAGUGGACUCAAAAUCCACCGCCGAUUUUCGGUGUGCCGGUUCGAGUCCGGCCUUCGGUACCA
rnacentral:tRNA from 1 species